AACCAGUAGGUUAAUUUUGAUGUUGAUUGUAUUGUGGGGAAUUCGUGCUGGCCAGGAUUGGAUCCUUCCAGGUGCAUGUGGUUAAAUAACAGGCACCUGGAUGACUGUACUAGUGUUAAACUGCUGGCCUUAAUUUAAGGUGAGGCUAGGGACUGAUCCUUAGGUUAGUGAUGAAUAGUUAGAAAUAUGACCUGAUGUUUAUAAGACAAGAUCAGAAGAAGGACUAAAAUGCAGCUGUUCUGGUAAAAAAGUGCAUGGGCUGGUUAAGCAUACCAUAAGUGUAGUAGUCAAAACUUGGGUUAAGGUGUUGAAUUUUAAGCUCUUGUAGGCUUUCCUUUCUUUCUCAUCUUUGACUGUCAUAUUCUUCUUUUAAAAGAAACAGAAUUACUCCAAGUUGUUCCUAAAAAUUAGGAAUCCUCUAUUCAUCUAUCUGCAGUGACAGUAAGCAUAGAUCACUGAGUUCCUGAAGUCAAAGGUAAAUAGACAAGUUAGUGUAAAGAACCAAUGUAGCUGCUAAACAAAUUUUCAUACAUCCAUACAUCCUUACAUGCUGAACUCCCUCCUUUCCCCUACAGUAACUGUGCACAAUGCAGUCUAGAAAACUGGCUGCAACCUCUACUAUCGUUACUGUGCUUUCAGGCCUUUCUAACUACUACAAUCCAGCAGAUCUGCAAAUUCAAACUGAUACAAAUGCUUCAUGUAAUUGAAAAUCAGUCACUUAAAGGCAAGUGGCCCUCGUAAGAAAAGAAAAGUAGAACCGCAUCCCUUUAGAGUUUAGUGUGGGGUUGUUCAUUCACCUGGCUGUGCCUCCUCAGCUGUUUUCAAUCGCAUCUGCAGUCUGGGAGUCCUAAAGGCCUCACAAGCUGCUUGCUUUCCCUGAACAAAAGGUAAUGGUGCUGUUCAGACUUUUCUGUGUUUUGAACUUGGUUGGUGGUGAUAUUUUACUGAGAUCUGCUUGAUGUGCUGCAACUUUGCUGGCAGGAUUUGUCCUCUGCUAUCCAGCCUGGCCAUGACCCUGCACAGCUGGGAGUGCUCUAGAUGAACUGAGUCAGCCAAAGGAAACCUGUCCCCACACAUCCUUUAAAAGAGUGGAUUUGUUCAAAGAUAUAAGACAACAUUUUCAUGCUGGAUCCCUCAAAAGCCCCACAGCAUGUUUAAUUG